AUUGAACGCUGGCGGCAGGCCUAACACAUGCAAGUCGAACGGUAGCACAGAGAGCUUGCUCUCGGGUGACGAGUGGCGGACGGGUGAGUAAUGUCUGGGAAACUGCCUGAUGGAGGGGGAUAACUACUGGAAACGGUAGCUAAUACCGCAUAACGUCGCAAGAACAAAGUGGGGGACCUUCGGGCCUCAUGCCCUCCGAUGUGCCCAGAUGGGAUUAGCUGGUAGGUGAGGUAACGGCUCACCUAGGCGACGAUCCCUAGCUGGUCUGAGAGGAUGACCAGCCACACUGGAACUGAGACACGGUCCAGACUCCUACGGGAGGCAGCAGUGGGGAAUAUUGCACAAUGGGCGCAAGCCUGAUGCAGCCAUGCCGCGUGUAUGAAGAAGGCCUUCGGGUUGUAAAGUACUUUCAGCGAGGAGGAAGGCGAUAAGGUUAAUAACCUUGUCGAUUGACGUUACUCGCAGAAGAAGCACCGGCUAACUCCGUGCCAGCCGCCGCAGUAA
rnacentral:rRNA from 1 species